rnacentral:hammerhead_ribozyme from 1 species
AAGCGAAACCAUGCCGGGGUUGCCCGGCAUGGUCUGCCCAGCGUGGUGGCUGGGCACUGAUGAGCAGCCGA